rnacentral:lncRNA from 10 species
GUCAUGCCAGAUGGUCCCUGAGCGUCCUCCUUACUCUGGGCUCCACUGGCCAGGAUCAGCUUGUGCCUAUCCAACUAGGGAAAGGUGACACCAACUCCAGGGGAGUGGGCAGAGAAGGAGUCCAAGUGCAAAAACCUUUAGUAAGUGUCAGAUCAUCACAAAUCAGAUAUCUACCACUCAGCAAGAAACUCGAUGACUAUAAUACAUCAAAGUACCUUAAAUAAGGAAGGGCCAGAUGGCUGAUAGGGAAUAAGGGUCCCAGAGGGACCAAAAGUGAUUUUUUUCUUGGCCCUCUAAGGAUAUCUCAUAAAUAGAGAUAAGGAUGAUGCCAUUAGGGUAAGAAAAAUUAACAUGGCAUUGUACAGACAAAAAGAAGAAAUACUUUUUUCCCUCUUAUCUCUCCUCUACAAGUUAAGGGAUUCUGAAUAGCAAAUCUCAAAGAAGACCAUAGAUUCAAGAACAAACUGAGGAAGUGCCAUGAAUAAUCCAUUUUCCUAUAAAACCUAAGAAGACUUGGCAUGGGUUCCACAACAAAGGUGCUGAUUAAGCUACAGAAGCCCCAAGUAUUUAGCUGGCCACAGACCAUCCAGGUAGACAAUAAAUGUCCUGGCCUCCGUUGCCCCAAGGUGUGGUGGCAUUGUGACAAAAUCUGAACUAAUGGGACAUGAGUGGAAGGGCCGUGUGCACUGUCCCGGUCAUCUUUUUAAAUUGAAGAUGCUUGCCUAGGGCUUCCUCUUUAGUCCUUCCUGCUGCCUGGAAAAUGGCGACGUUGGGAGCAACUUUGGAAGCACACUGUAAUGUUGAUACAGCCACCCUCACAACCCUGGGCCAUUCUGCAAUGUGUGAGAGAGAAAUGACUUCUUUCUCUUUAAGCCAUUCUUGUUUAUUUGUUUGCUUUGUGGAUGCAUUUUUGUUUUUUGUUACAGAAGCUUUGUCUGUAUUCUAACUAUAUGGAUUAGAUUGUUUUUCCCAUCUUAUCUGAAUUUGUGAAGGCUGAAAGUUCUGACAUGGGGCAAGAGCAGGCAAG